ACGCUUACACGGUUUAUAUUUUUGCGUAGCAGUGUACAUCACUUUCUAUAUUGGUGACAUGCUUGGAGUUGAUUGUCUUUGGGUGCAAAGGAAUAAUUAAGAGGGAAACAUUUCAUGAUGGCCACAUAGAAUUAAGAGUAUGUACGUCCAUAAUUUGCAUCCAUGAAAAACAGUCGAUGACUUCAACCUGUUCGACAGCGUAGAUUAGACUGAUAUCAGCAACUGAACUUGUCGACGAGUUUCGUGCCGCCGCCGGUCAUGUUGGAGACGAAGAUCCGAGUACCCAAUGGAAGGGAAGCGGGCAAAAAGGAUGAAGUUUAUGAUCGUACCGACGGAGCCUGCUUAUACUGCGUAGCUCAGAUACAACCCCUCGCUAAGUCAAGCACAAGAUGUAACCGGGACUGGAAUUCUACCUCUGAUUCAAAGCUUCUGACAGACGAAGAGGAAGAAGAAGCAAGCUUUUCAGCUAAUGUAGUGUCUCAAG